AUUAAGUUGUCUCCUAUUUUGUUUUAGCUUUCUAAUUCUCUAUUAAUUAAAUUCAUCUUCAAUUACUUCCAUACAUCACAAAGCAACAUAAGGCACUUAAAUAAUUCAAUAAAAUACAUACAUAGAAGAUAAUUUUUUAUACAAUUUAAUAUAAGUUUAUAUAAUUCUUAUUUUAUUUAUUUUUAUUUUUAUUUUUAUUUUUAUUUUUAGUAUUAAAUUUCAUUCAAAAUUUUAAAUAUACCUAAAAUAAAUUUCUAUCCAUGAUUGAAUUUUUAUUUGUGAAUAAUUUUUCAUCCACAAAUAAAUUCUCAUCUAUAAUUAAAAAAUCAUCUAAUUUUAGAUAAUUUUUAUCUAUGAUAAUUCAUCCAUUCAAAACUUAAGUUUAUUUUUAUUGAUUUGAACUCACACAAAAUAGUUUUAUUCACUAAACCUUAAUAAUAUUAAUUUAGCAAUCUUACUCACUUCUUAAUAUUACAAUUGAUCUUGAAUUUUGGCCGAUUGAAAAAAUAGACUUGAGAAAAAACUUAGGAUGACUUCCAUUCUUCUUGCAUCCUACCUUCAUUAAAUUAAACUCUUAAGGCUUGGUUAUCAUAUUUUCCUCUUGAAGAAAGUGAUUGUCGUUGCCCCAUGGUUGUCUUCCUCUUCUACCACCUUUAUACUCUAUAAUUAUCUAGC
rnacentral:lncRNA from 1 species